AGUGAACGCUGGCGGCAGGCCUAAUACAUGCAAGUCGAACGGCAGCACAGCAGAGCUUGCUCUGUGGGUGGCGAGUGGCGGACGGGUGAGGAAUACAUGGGAAUCUGCCCAGUCGUGGGGGAUAACGUAUGGAAACGUACGCUAAUACCGCAUGCGCCCUAAGGGGGAAAGCCGGGGACCGCAAGGCCUGGCGCGAUUGGAUGAGCCCAUGUUCGAUUAGCUAGUUGGCGGGGUAAAGGCCCACCAAGGCGACGAUCGAUAGCUGGUCUGAGAGGAUGAUCAGCCACACUGGAACUGAGACACGGUCCAGACUCCUACGGGAGGCAGCAGUAGGGAAUAUUGGACAAUGGGGGCAACCCUGAUCCAGCCAUGCCGCGUGAGUGAAGAAGGCCCUCGGGUUGUAAAGCUCUUUUGUCCGGAAGAAAGCAAUCGGUUAUACCCGGUUGUCCUGACGGUACCGGAAGAAUAAGCACCGGCUAACUUCG
rnacentral:rRNA from 1 species